rnacentral:rRNA from 1 species
GACGAACGCUGGCGGCGUGCUUAACACAUGCAAGUCGAACGAAGAAAGAGAAUCUGUUUUCUUCGGAGUGAAGAAUCUCUGGAGUAGUGGCGGACGGGUGAAUAACGCGUGAACAAUCUGCCUUACACAAAGGGAUAGCCUCGGGAAACCGGGAUUAAUACCAUAUGAUAUCUCUUAACCGCAAGGUUGAUUGUUUAAAGAAUUUCGGUGUAAGAUGAGCUAGGGUCCCAUUAAGUAGUUUGGUAGGGUAACGGCUUACCAAGAUGGCGAUGGGUAGCCGGCAUGAGAGGGUCAUCGGCCACACGAGAACUGAGAAUCGCUCGACACACUGGAGCGAGGCAGCGGUAGAGACUCUUCCGCGAUGGGGGAGUGGGUGACGGAGCAAAAUGGCGUGAGUGAUGAAGGUCUUACGACCGUAAAGCUCUGUUAUUAGGGAAGUCGAAAUGUGUAGGUAACUAUGCACAUCAUGACGGUACCUAAUCAGAAAGCCACGGCUAACUACGUG